GCCGCUAUCUCCCACGGCCGCGUCUACCGCCGCCUGGGCCUCGGUCCCGAGUCCCGGAUCCACCUUCUACGGAACUUGCUCACAGGCCUAGUUCGCCACGAACGCAUCGAGGCGACAUGGGCACGCGUGGACGAGAUGAGGGGCUACGCGGAGAAGCUCAUCGACUAUGGAAAGCUGGGAGACACCAACGAACGAGCCAUGCGUAUGGCUGACUUCUGGCUCACUGAGAAGGACUUGAUCCCAAAGCUGUUUAAAGUGCUAGCGCCUCGGUUCCAAGGAUUUCUGGAACAUAAGGAACAUGCAGAUGCUCAGCCUCCUACGACAGUAAAUCCACUGCUUUACCUUUCUGAGUCUUAGGUCCAGUUUUGCUUUGCUUUUUGGUGGGGAGAGGGUCUUGCUGUGUAAUCCAGGUUGCAUCUACCAUGCAGCAGUCCUCCUGUCCCUUUUGCCCAAGUGCUGGGCUUGAAGGUGUUCACCACCACACAGUGCCAGUUUGCUUAUGUUUUGUUUAUAUUUUUCUGAGACAGAGUUUCUUUGGCUGUCCUGGAACUCUCUUUGUAGACCAUGCUGGACUUGAACUAAGAAAUCCACAUGCAUUUGCCUCCUGAGUACUGGGAUUAAAGGCAUGGGACACC
rnacentral:lncRNA from 1 species